UGGUUAAAAAGCUCGUAGUUGGAUCUCAACAGCCUUGAAGCGGUUAACUUUGUAGUUUUACUGCUUUAUAGGCUGUGCUUUUGCUGGAGGUUUAGGGGUGCUCUUGAUCGAGUGUCUCUGGAUGCCAGCAGGUUUACUUUGAAAAAAUUAGAGUGCUCAAAGCAGGCUAAAAUGCCUGAAUAUUCGUGCAUGGAAUAAUAGAAUAGGAUGUCGAUCCUAUUUUGUUGGUUUUCGGGACUCGACAUAAUGAUAAAUAGGGACAGUCGGGGGCAUUUGUAUUCAAACGACAGAGGUGAAAUUCUUGGACCGUUUGAAGACAAACUACUGCGAAAGCACUUGCCAAGAAUGUUUUCAUUAAUCAAGAACGAAAGUUAGAGGUUCGAAGGCGAUUAGAUACCGCCCUAGUUCUAACCAUAAACGAUGCCAGCUAGCGAUCUGCCUGCGUUUUUACUGUAGACUGGGCAGGAAGCUUCCGGGAAACCAAAGCAUUUGGGUUCCAGGGGAAGUAUGGUUGCAAAGCUGAAACUUAAAGGAAUUGACGGAAGGGCACCACCAGGAGUGGAGCCUGUGGCUUAAUU
rnacentral:rRNA from 1 species